GGGGCCAUAAUAUAGCGGCUAUUAUACCACGCUGGCAGCGUGGCUACACGAGUUCGAUUCUCGUUGGCUCCACCA
rnacentral:tRNA from 1 species